rnacentral:lncRNA from 10 species
CGGUCACUAGGACCACAUCGCCCUUCUGGAAGAGAGUAUUACAGGGAGAAGGUGGAAAGAAAAUGAGAGGAGAAGCAAGUGUCUAGGCAGCUUGGGCUGCUAUCACAAAGUACUACAGAUGGGGUGGCUUAAACAAGAAACUUUUUUAUAGUUCUGGGGGCUGGAAGUCUCAGAUCAGGGUGUCAGGAUGGUCAGGUUCUGGUGAGGACUCUCUUCCUGGCCACCUUUAUGCUGCGUCCUCACAUGGCAGAAAGAGAGAGACCAAAACCUCUCUCAUAUCUCUUCUUAUAAGGGCACUGGCUGCAUCAUGAAAGGCCCACUCUCAUGAACCCAUCCAAGCCUAAUUAUUUCCCACAGG